rnacentral:tRNA from 1 species
AGUCUUAUAUUCAAUAAUGAUAUAAAAUUGCAAAUUUUAUGGUGUAUUAAAAUACUAAGGCUU